rnacentral:rRNA from 1 species
GACGAACGCUGGCGGCGUGCCUAAUACAUGCAAGUCGAGCGGAAUGAUGAAGAAGCUUGCUUCUUCUGAUUUUAGCGGCGGACGGGUGAGUAACACGUGGGCAACCUACCUUGUAGAUUGGGAUAACUCCGGGAAACCGGGGCUAAUACCGAAUAAUCCAUUUUGCUUCAUGGCGAGAUGUUGAAAGACGGUUUCGGCUGUCACUAUAAGAUGGGCCCGCGGCGCAUUAGCUAGUUGGUAGGGUAAUGGCCUACCAAGGCGACGAUGCGUAGCCGACCUGAGAGGGUGAUCGGCCACACUGGGACUGAGACACGGCCCAGACUCCUACGGGAGGCAGCAGUAGGGAAUCUUCCACAAUGGACGAAAGUCUGAUGGAGCAACGCCGCGUGAGUGAAGAAGGUUUUCGGAUCGUAAAACUCUGUUGUAAGGGAAGAACCCGUACGAGAGUAACUGCUCGUACCUUGACGGUACCUUAUUAGAAAGCCACGGCUAACUACGUG